rnacentral:rRNA from 1 species
AUUGAACGCUGGCGGCAGGCCUAACAAAUGCAAGUCGAACGAGUGGCGGACGGGUGAGUAAUGUCUGGGAAACUGCCCGAUGGAGGGGGAUAACUACUGGAAACGGUAGCUAAUACCGCAUACCAUCGGAUGUGCCCAGAUGGGAUUAGCUAGUAGGUGGGGUAACGGCUCAACUAGGCGACGCUCCCUAGCUGGUCUGAGAGGAUGCACCGCCACACUGGAACUGAGACCCGGUCCAGACUCCGACGGGAGGCAGCAGUGGGGAAUUUUGGACAAUGGGGGAAACCCUGAUCCAGCCAGCCCGCGGGUGCGAUGAAGGCCUUCGGGUUGUAAAGCACUUUUGGCAGGAAAGCGGUACCUGCAGAAUAAGCACCGGCUAACUACGUGCCAGCAGCCGCGGUAAUAC